UCUACCAUAUAUCGCACACUCUCCCUCUCUCUCUAAAGUUCUAUCUUAUUAUUAUUAUUAUAAUUAUUACUAUUAUUAUUAUUAUUAUUAUUAUUAUUAUUAUUAUUAUUAUUAUUCUUCUAUAUAUUAAAAAACGAAUCGAUUGAACAGUAUUCACACAGUAAACUUUACUUUAUAUUUAAGGGUUUUUAUUUACACAUAAAUUAAAACCGUGAGGGAUAAUAGAAAGAGAGGGGGAGGGAGACUGGAUAAACUGUGUCACAGAGGAGAGAGCCGCUCGUCGGCGGCGGCGAAGAGGGACAGAGCGAUCGGAUCAUCGGACAGAAAAACAGAGAGAUGCUCGCCGGCGGAGAGAUACACAUAAAUUAAAACCGUGAGGGAUAAUAGAAAGAGAGGGGGAGGGAGACUGGAUAAACUGUGUCACAGAGGAGAGAGCCGCUCCUCGGCGGCGUAGAGGGACAGAGCGAUCGGAUCAUCGGACAGAAAAACAGAGAGAUGCUCGCCGGCGGAGAGAAGAGAGAGAUCGGAUGCGGAGACUGGUCGACGGCUUCCCCGCCGGCGACGAUUGUAUUGUAUCUCGAUCUAUGGUAACUUAGUGUGAAGCCAAUAAAAGCCAGCUGGAGAGCACUGAAGGCUUAGAAAAGUGGCAAUAAAAGUUACCUAAUUAAAAUGAGAAUUGUUUUCAAUAAUUGGGGUCAUUCCCUAUAGAUGUAUCAAAAUGAAAAUCGGGUUUUGUCCCACUUAUAAAUGUAUUACCAGAAAAACUUGGGUUUUAUCCCAUUUCUUUAAUUUAAAUAUUUUUGGUGU
rnacentral:lncRNA from 1 species